rnacentral:tRNA from 1 species
GGAGAGAUGGCUGAGUGGUCGAAAGCACAUCUUUGCUAAAGAUGCGUAGCCUUUAACAGCUACCGAGGGUUCGAAUCCCUCUCUCUCCGCCA